GGUUAUAGCUCAGCGGUAGAGUGCUUGUCUUAUACUUGUGAGGUACUGGGUUCGAUCCUCAGCACCA
rnacentral:tRNA from 1 species